rnacentral:rRNA from 1 species
UACGGAGGGUGCGAGCGUUGUCCGGAAUCAUUGGGCGUAAAGGGCGCGUAGGUGGCCUGCUAAGCGUGCGGUGAAAGCUCGGGGCUCAACCCCGAGUCGGCCGUGCGAACUGGUGGGCUUGAGCACUGUAGAGGCAGGCGGAAUUCCGGGUGUAGCGGUGGAAUGCGUAGAUAUCUGGAGGAACACCGGUGGCGAAGGCGGCAUCCUGGACCGGCAUUGACGCUGAGGCGCGAAAGCCAGGGGAGCAAACGGG